rnacentral:sRNA from 1 species
GCCGGGCACAGCGGCCCAGGCCUGUAAUCCCAGCAGCUCGGGAGGCUGAGGCAGGAGGAUCUGAAUUCAAAGGCAGCCUCAGCAACAGAGAUGUGCUAAGCAACUCAGUGAGCCCCUGUCUCUA